AGCUCCAGUAGCGUAUAUUAAAGUUGCUGCAGUUAAAAAGCUCGUAGUUGGAUUUCUGGCUUGACUCGACUGGCCCGCUACAAUAGUAGUGAGUGUCGGCUCGUGUCUGCCAUCCUUCCACAGAACGUUUCUACCCUUUACUGGGCGGGAUUCGCAAUGUGGAACUUUUACUUUGAAAAAAUUAGAGUGUUCAAAGCAGGCUUACGCUAUGAAUACAUUAGCAUGGAAUAAUAAUUUAGGACUUCGGUUCUAUUU
rnacentral:rRNA from 1 species